GCAGCUCUUCCUCUUUUGUUUUUUUUUUUGCCUCUCGUUUUUCCUUUACUCGCUUGCGCUUCGUCGUCGCUGUUUCCGAGAUGGGGGAAAUCGUACAAGGCCGCGGUGGCGAAGGUAGAGAGGAAGAAGCUCGGCGGACUGGUCGCUGAGGAGAACUGCGGCCCAUCGAUGCUCCUCCUCGCAGAAGUGAAUCCAAUCUCGCUUUGAUUUCGUGUUUUUGAGUAGAUCCUUGAAGGACGGUCAGGAUCUGUUCUAUAGGCUCGUACAACUGUGUCCUUGAGUGUUAAGGAGACAAGCAACCCAAUCUGGAUGAUGACGGAAAGAUUCGAGAUCAGAGCGUGAUUAACGGCCUAAAUUCUUUGGGAUUGGUGGCUUCGGAGGAUCGUUUUCAGCGGGUGUCUAGUCUACUCACCUGCUGGGGUGGUCUCGAAUCUGUCUGACAGACGCCGAAAUUAUUUUUAGUAGGUUCAUCUCGUUGUGGAUGAUCGUUCUCAGCAUUUCUCUACCCCUGCUUGGGUGGUCUAGAGUCUGACAGACCAUAAAAUAGUUUUUACCUUAACGAACAAGCGACGCAGCAAAUUAAUAUAAUAAUUUCAUGUUUUUUACAAA